rnacentral:rRNA from 1 species
GACAGAGGUGCCGAGCGUUAGGCGGAAUCACUGGGCUUAAAGCGUGUGUAGGCGGAUUGGUAAGUACCUUGUGAAAUCCCACGGCUUAACCGUGGAACUGCUUGGUAUACUGCUUAUCUUGGGCCACUUAGGGGCUACCGGAACAAACGGUGGAGCGGUGAAAUGCGUAGAUAUGCGGAGGAACACCGAUGGCGAAGGCAAUCCCCUGGGCCUGCACUGACGCUCAUGCACGAAAGCGUGGGGAGCAAACAGG